CCUACGGGAGGCAGCAGUGAGGAAUAUUGGUCAAUGGGCGAGAGCCUGAACCAGCCAAGUCGCGUGAGGGAGUACUGCCCUAUGGGUUGUAAACCUCUUUUGUCGGGGAGCAAAAGACGGACGUGUCCGGCUGUGAGAGUACCCGAAGAAAAAGCAUCGGCUAACUCCGUGCCAGCAGCCGCGGUAAUACGGAGGAUGCGAGCGUUAUCCGGAUUUAUUGGGGUAAAAGGGUGCGCAGGCGGAUUUUUAAGUCAGCGGUCAAAUCGUGGGGCUCAACCCCAUCCAGCCGUUGAAACUGGGGAUCUAGAGUGUGCGAGAGGUAUGCGGAAUGCGUGGUGUAGCGGUGAAAUGCAUAGAUAUCACGCAGAACCCCGAUUGCGAAGGCAGCAUACCGGUGCACAACUGACGCUCAGGCACGAAAGCGUGGGUAUCGAACAGGAUUAGAUACCCCUGUAGUC
rnacentral:rRNA from 1 species